GAGGUCCCCGGCGAGGAGCGGCAGCCCUGCCAGGGUCUUCUUUAAAUUGAGUGUGCAGGGCGGCGGUGCCUCAAUGCCCCGCAGCUCCUGUGUGUCGAGAGGACCUGCAGUCCUGCACGCUGCCAGCCAGGAUGAGGGCCCAGGCGGUGCUAGUGGCGAUGCUGUUGGCGGUGCUGCUGCUGGCGGCGGUGGCGGCAGCUUUCCCACAGGGGCAGGAGUGCAGGAAUGCAUUGCUUUGGGAUACCGAAUGUGGCACGUGUUACUGUCUUGAGGGAAGGCCUAAAUGCUUCCCGGAGCACUGCAACUCUGCAGGCUAGCCCCUCGAGAGACCAGUGCGGGCUGCCAGAGCCUUCCUGUACCGCCGCUGACUCCCUUGGCCCCCGGGGAGUGUGUCCUGUGGCGGGGCUCACGGAGAGGCCAGUGUGGGGACGUGCUCGUGGGCCUCGCACUGCACGACACACUUGCCCUCGCCGCUUCACUGUCCCCGCCGCCGCUCGUCUGUAACCUUGUCUGUAACCAAUACUGAUGCAGGAAGAGAGUCACGUAUAAUUGUCUCGUGUUAGCAGUUCCGUCAAAUAAAACAUUCAGUAGAUAA